rnacentral:rRNA from 1 species
AGAGUUUGAUCCUGGCUCAGGAUGAACGCUGGCGGCGUGCCUAAUACAUGCAAGUCGAGCGAACGGACGAGAAGCUUGCUUCUCUGAUGUUAGCGGCGGACGGGUGAGUAACACGUGGAUAACCUACCUAUAAGACUGGGAUAACUUCGGGAAACCGGAGCUAAUACCGGAUAAUAUUUUGAACCGCAUGGUUCAAAAGUGAAAGACGGUCUUGCUGUCACUUAUAGAUGGAUCCGCGCUGCAUUAGCUAGUUGGUAAGGUAACGGCUUACCAAGGCAACGAUGCAUAGCCGACCUGAGAGGAUGAUCGGCCACACUGGAACUGAGACACGGUCCAGACUCCUACGGGAGGCAGCAGUAGGGAAUCUUCCGCAAUGGGCGAAAGCCUGACGGAGCAACGCCGCGUGAGUGAUGAAGGUCUUCGGAUCGUAAAACUCUGUUAUUAGGGAAGAACAUAUGUGUAAGUAACUGUGCACAUCUUGACGGUACCUAAUCAGAAAGCCACGGCUAACUACGUGCCAGCAGCCGCGGUAAUACGUAGGUGGCAAGCGUUAUCCGGAAUUAUUGGGCGUAAAGCGCGCGUAGGCGGUUUUUUAAGUCUGAUGUGAAAGCCCACGGCUCAACCGUGGAGGGUCAUUGGAAACUGGAAAACUUGAGUGCAGAAGAGGAAAGUGGAAUUCCAUGUGUAGCGGUGAAAUGCGCAGAGAUAUGGAGGAACACCAGUGGCGAAGGCGACUUUCUGGUCUGUAACUGACGCUGAUGUGCGAAAGCGUGGGGAUCAAACAGGAUUAGAUACCCUGGUAGUCCACGCCGUAAACGAUGAGUGCUAAGUGUUAGGGGGUUUCCGCCCCUUAGUGCUGCAGCUAACGCAUUAAGCACUCCGCCUGGGGAGUACGACCGCAAGGUUGAAACUCAAAGGAAUUGACGGGGACCCGCACAAGCGGUGGAGCAUGUGGUUUAAUUCGAAGCAACGCGAAGAACCUUACCAAAUCUUGACAUCCUUUGACAACUCUAGAGAUAGAGCCUUCCCCUUCGGGGGACAAAGUGACAGGUGGUGCAUGGUUGUCGUCAGCUCGUGUCGUGAGAUGUUGGGUUAAGUCCCGCAACGAGCGCAACCCUUAAGCUUAGUUGCCAUCAUUAAGUUGGGCACUCUAAGUUGACUGCCGGUGACAAACCGGAGGAAGGUGGGGAUGACGUCAAAUCAUCAUGCCCCUUAUGAUUUGGGCUACACACGUGCUACAAUGGACAAUACAAAGGGCAGCGAAACCGCGAGGUCAAGCAAAUCCCAUAAAGUUGUUCUCAGUUCGGAUUGUAGUCUGCAACUCGACUACAUGAAGCUGGAAUCGCUAGUAAUCGUAGAUCAGCAUGCUACGGUGAAUACGUUCCCGGGUCUUGUACACACCGCCCGUCACACCACGAGAGUUUGUAACACCCGAAGCCGGUGGAGUAACCUUUUAGGAGCUAGCCGUCGAAGGUGGGACAAAUGAUUGGGGUGAAGUCGUAACAAGGUAGCCGUAUCGGAAGGUGCGGCUGGAUCACCU